rnacentral:tRNA from 1 species
GUAAAUAUAGCUCAAAUGGCAGAGCAUUAGAUUAUAAUUCGAAAUCUAAAAGUUGAGGGUUCAAAUCCCUUUAUUUACCCA